GACUUGCAGGAUGUAAAUGCCUAAGUUUGUCAUACGUAGUAAAAACCAGUUCAAAUCUCGUGUUUCUUUGUCAAUCCUCAGGCCUGUUUACAUGGAGAGGUGGCGAAUACCUUAAAUGUUACGAUCCUCGUGCCAAGUAGGAUAGAUUAGGAGAGGUGGUACAAAUGCAUGUAGAUACCAAGACUUGCAUGAUUCCCAAUAUUAUUGCACAUUCGGUAGCAAAGAUGUUGACACCACAUGUCGUCUGAUGAUGACUUUUACGGGAUCGAAUAAGGUUUGGUCAUUGCAUUCCCUGAAAGGAAUGAGAGGAGAAAAGGAACUGGAAGACCUGGCUAUCUGCAGGCCAAUGCUGGCUGCAGGUCAAUAUUGAAUGCUCUUAUGAAAACUCAUAAGACAAUAACAAAAAAAAGAAGCUGAGGAUGCUGUUUUUAAAACAUGCUCCAUUCAAAAAAGGUGGAUUGAAAUUUAAGAAAGGUGUGACGGGUGCGUCUGCUGCAGGCAGGGAGGAUUUGACGGUCAGCCAGAGGAUUUGGGGAUAUACUGUAAUGUCUUUAAUGUGGACUUGCGUGUGAUUUAAGUUUUCACAAGGGUUUUAGUGUGUGUGAAAGUAUGUCAGUUUUCAAAAUUGAGCUGUGUCAAUUUGCUCAAACUACAUAACUCAAAGAACUUUGAAGCGGUCUUGUUGACGUCAUGAGCUUUUGUUUAAUACCAGUAUUGGUGAUAUAGGCCCAUGACUAUAUACUGUAGAAAGUGAACAAGUUCACUGCUUGAUACAGAUAGUCAUAUAGCCUGAUCUCUGAAUGAUAUUUAUGAACCAAAAGAAGGCAUAAAAUAAAAACAUACAGUAGUGAUUUGAAUUAUUGAUAUUGUUAAACUAGAUCUGGGCCAGUAUUCAUAAAGGAUCUUAGUAAAAAAAAUUAUCUAGAACUUAAUAUUCUUUGAACAGUCAAGUCAAAAACUUUUCACGCUCUUUAAAUAUUUCACAGCAUGACUCCAAACUUGUAUAUUAUACCAAAGAAAAAUAGAUUGGCAACUUGAAAGGCGUAUAGAGCAAAUCUCGCCAACAUCACAUGGCAACUGAAUGAGGUCUCCUUUUAGUAAGCAUAUUUGAUCACAAUUGAUAAAGUCAGCAAAUGCUUUGAAAUAAGAAAACUUGAUUGUUUGUGUAUAAUGCUAAUGGUACCUUUUUAAUAAUGUUACUAGUAUUUUCUACUCAGGAAAGCAAUGAAUUUUUGAUUGGAAGUCUGAGAAAUCAACAGUUGUUGAAAAAUGGACUCGAUUCGGUUUAUUACGCGCCAGUGUAACAUUAAAUACUGACCACGUUGAAAAUUGACCCCAUAGAUCCUUUUCAACGUUGAAAAUUGACCCGUCAACAUUUCAACAUCAAAUUUUGAUCAAAGGGUCCUUUUUCAACGUUGAGAAUUGACCCCGUCAACAUUUCAGCAUUAAAUUUUGAUCAAAAGAUCCUUUUUCAACAUUGAGAAAAGGCCCCACCAACAUUUCAACAUUAAAUUUUGAUCAAUGGGGUCAAUAUUUAAUGUUACACCGGCUGUACCACCAGUUUAAUACUUCAGUAAGCAUCUGUUGAUUUGAUCACGACUGAUCAAAUUGGCAAACACUUUGAAAUAAUAUAACGCACCAAGGUCAAUGUCACCAAGGUGUUAUAGUGACGUCUUUGGUUAUUUUUAAGGUUAAAGUUUUUCGGCAACCUUUGUUUUUCUGUCAUAGCUUUGUUAUUAUUGCUUAUAUCUUUCUGUAACUUUACAUAAACAUUGUCCAGCAUACAAACAAAGUAUGUACAGGGGGUCGGCCCAUUAUACCCAGGGUCAAGGUCACCAAGGUGUUAUACUUAGGUUAAGGUCACAAACUUUUUAUACUUGGAAUUAUUUUCAUGUUAAAUUUUUUGGAAAGCUUCGUUUAUAGACAUACCUUUGGUACUUUAAAAGAUAGUGACCACUUUAUCAUCAUCAUCUGCAUGUGUGGUAGCAAUCCCAAUAACUCUAAUAUGUGUUCUUGACAGAAUUAUGCCCCUUGAUGUAUCUUCCUUUUAAAGUAGAGGUCUCCUGUUGAGACAUAUAUUCAUUUUACUGUCAAAUCGCCAAAUAGUGGAGCGCGCUGUCUUACGGACAGCUCUUGUUGUUGAGACCCUUAGAGAAUUUCAAAUUUGUUGUCGCAUAUCUUCACUCUGAUGUGUUGCACACAAGUCGCAUCCAUAUAACCAUGGUCAAGGUCACACUUUGGUCAAAGCUCAAAAGAGAGUUUAUUCUAACACAUUCUUUGUUUAUUCUUUUACUAUUUUUUAUCAGAAAAUCAAAUUAUUGAUCGUCUGCGUUACUUAAAUUUUGUUUUCCUCAAAAACUGUCAAAGGUAACCAUUUGAAACUUGAAAAACUUGUUCACUUUUACACAUUUUUAUACGCCCAAAGGGACGUAUUAUGUUACGACGCCGGUGUCCGUCUGUCCGUCAGUUAGCAAUUUCGUGUCCGCUCUGUAACUCUUGGACCCCUUGAAGGAUUUCAAAGAAACUUGACACAAAUGUUCACCACAUGGAGACGACGUGCAGAGCGCUUGUUUUGGAUGACUAGGUUCAAGGUCAAGGUCACACUUAGGGAUUUAAGGUCAUAUAAGUGUGUUUCUUGUCCGCUCUGUAACUCUUGAACUGCUUAGAGGAUUCCAAAGAAACUUGGCACAAAUGUUCACCACACUGAGGCGACGUGCAGAGGGCAUAUUUUAGAUGACUCGCUUCAAGGUCAAGGUCACACUUGGGGGUCAAAUGUCAUAUAUGACUUUGCUUUGUGUAUAUUGCUCUGCAUUGCAGUGCUCUUGUUUUUAUUUGGCAGAUCCCUUUUUUGUUCUCUUACAAUAAUUUUUUUGUAUUACUUCCCUUUUUUGUUACUAUAAAUAGCUUAUUUUGAAACUUUCUUAUUAUUUGCCAUAGGGAAAAGCCGAGACCACUUUUCUGUGGUACAACAUGGAUGGUACCACCAAUUUUUAGGUGUAUUUUGACAUAACUUUACCUGGUAAGAAUUUUUUUGUGGACUUGGAAUUUUUUUCUGGAUUUUCUUCUUUUUUUUUUGUUCCUGUCCUUUGGGCUUCAACAGUCAAGUUCUUUAAAUUUUGCGCCCAUCCUCUGAUGUAACCCUUCGGGUGUAUAUUGCCCCGCUUGGCGGCACUCUUAUAUUUAUUGCAAUGCAGGUAACCCUGUGAUUUGUUUUUACAGAGUAAAUACCUCUUACUGUCCGUCAGUCUCCAAUUUCUCAAUACAGUGUAACAAGGUAUUUUUCUUCUUUACAGUGGUGACCUCAUUCUGUUGACUAGGUGACUUUCAAUGGUUUUUUUGUUGAGCUAUUGCCCUUUUUCGACCUUGAAUUUUCAGUUGUUGUUUUUUUUCAAUCCAAUUACCCAAUAUCUUAUCAUAGGUAUUGACAUGAUACUAGACAUAAUUUAUUGUGAUGACCCAAUUUGUUAGACAAGAGGAGGUACUCUAUCAAGGAUCAUUUUCUAAGAAUUAUUGCCUUUUUUAUAUGCCCGUUUGAAAAAUUGGACGUAUUAUGGGAACGCCCCUGGCGGGCCGGCAGGUGACGUCCGGAGCAUAUCUUCUUCAUGCAUGGAGGGAUUUUGAUGAAACUUGGCACAAUUGCUCGCCAUCAUGAGAGGGAGUGUCAGGUGCAAAAACCAGGUCCCUAGGUCUAAGGUCAAGGUCACAAUUAGAGGUCAAAGGAUACAAGAAUGAAAACUGUUCGGAGCAUUUCUUCUUCAUGCAUGGAGGGAUUUUGAUAUUACUUGGCACAAAUGUUAACCACCACGAGACGGAGUGUCAUGCGCAAGAACCAGGUCCCUAGGUCUAAGGUCAAGGUCACAGAGGCUAAAGUUCAGAUACAAGAAUAACUGUCCGAAGCAUUUCUUCUUCAUGCAUAGAGGGAUUUUGAUGUAACUUGGCACAAUUGUACACCAUCAUGAGACGGAGUGUUAUGCGCAGGUCCCUUCUUUAGAAUUACUUCCCUUUGUUUUUACUAUAAAUAGCUUAUAUUGCAACUUUUUCGUUACUAGUCGUAGGGAAAAAUCGAGAUCACUUUUCUGUAAUGCAACAUGCAUGAUACAUCCAAUUCUGAGAUGUAUUUUGACCUGUCUCUACCUGGUAAGAUUUUUGUGUGGACUUGCAACUUUUUUUUGGGGGGGGGGGGGGUUUAAAGAUUAACUUCCCUUAGUUGUUACUAUAAAUAACUUACAUUGUAACUUUUUUAUAAUUGACCAUAAUUAUAGAAAAACCAAGACCACUUUUAUGUGGUAUACAACAUAGAUGUUUUUUUUCAAUCAGUAACUUGAGAACCACUUUACCCAGAAUGUUAAAAACUUAAUAGGAUGAUUGCACAUGCAGUGUUUAUGACCCCUAUUUAUUUUGGGGGUCACUGGACCUGAACAUGAGAAACAAUUUCCAUUUCAUAACUUUUAAAAGAACCACUAGGCCCAGAAUUUUGAAACUUAGUCGGAUGAUUGGACAUGCCAAGUAGAUGAUCCCUUUUGCAGCCAACCAUCAUUGUCUCUUUGACUUUUGCUCCUUUCCUCUAUUGACUUCUUGCCUAUACGACUAUGCAUUUGGGGAGACAUGCAUUUUUCUUCAAAAUCAUCUUCUAGUUCACCUUUGCUGAACUUGCCGCUCAUGAAGUCCGUAUUUACCUUGUUCCUGUGGGCAUGUCAUUGUAUUAGAUUUUGUUAUCGUUAAACUACAUAAGCUUUUUUGUAUUUAAUUAAAUUGAAUUAUCGUUAUCGUUAAACUACAUAAUCUUUUUAUAAUUUUGGACUUGCAUUAUCGUUAUUGUUUAACUACAUAAGUUUUUUGUAUUUGAUGGAUUUAAAUAAUUGUUACGUAUGCUUUAAACUGUAUUGUAUUAUCAAGGGGUGCAGUAUUCCCAUAUACUGCUUAAGGGAUUACUUUCGUUGUUUCUGAACUUAACGAAUAUUUUAGUAAAUUUUAUAAUUAGAUCUUGAAUUAAAAUAUGUAAUUGAAA